rnacentral:rRNA from 1 species
UACGUAGGUGGCGAGCGUUGUCCGGAUUUACUGGGCGUAAAGAGCGCGCAGGCGGUCGUACAAGUCGCGUGUGAAAGCCCCUGGCUCAACUGGGGAGGGUCACGCGAUACUGUUCGACUCGAAGGCAGGAGAGGGAAGUGGAAUUCCCGGUGUAGUGGUGAAAUGCGUAGAUAUCGGGAAGAACACCCGUGGCGAAGGCGGCUCUCUGGAACGCAACUGACGCUGAGACGCGAAAGCGUGGGGAGCAAACAGG